GUUAUCAUUUUUUCUGUCAGUGACAAUUUUAGUGAUUUUGUUGAAGAUACUUCCAGAAAGGAAGCUCUGGACUUUGUUACAGCCACAUCAGUUAUGUCAACUCAAAGGCAAUUUCUGGGCCAAUUUCUUGAGUAAGGUCUGUCUGCUUACAUGAUUUAUGCAGCAAGUGCUUAUUCCAGGAUGAGAAAGGAAAGUAAAUAUGGAAGAAAAAAAGCCCACAAAGAUAAGUUUAUACGUUCUGACACAGAAAACUCUUCUGCUAUCUCAAAACUUGGAGUCUGACUUUGUCUUCAUUGCAAUCAUUUUUACAAACUUCUGGCUAUAAAGAUUUCCUUUGUGGGAGAAAUGUCAUGAUUACAAAGAAAUCCAAAUCAGUCCAAGAUCAUUUUGCCAAUUGUUUUGCUAUGCAGACAAAAUAGAAAUCUCGUGAAUCUCAGCAAUAUCUUUAAGGUGGAAAAUUCUCGGCUGGAUCAAGGUCAUAAUUCUAUGAACUCUGCUUUGGGGGCUGUUAAUUAAAAAGUCUUUGGCUAAAACCACAUUGAGAGGAAGAACUGGAAUCCAGGACUCAUCCUUCUAGCAGAGUGUGCUUAUUUGCAGAUGCCAGAGUCUGCGGUCUGUGUUCUUCACUAGGCCACCAAAUAUGUCCAGCCUUUAGCAGGAAGACGGAACAAAAUAUCCAAUACAGAGGUUAAUUUCAUCCACUUCUGACAAGACUUUCCUGUUCAGAAAAGAAGGAUUAAUAAACCACAGUCACUCACUGUCUAACCACUAGUCUGAUAGAGAAAAGGCUGGGUCCCACUGGAAUCUGAGUUCAAAAUGUGUAGAAGAUGACAGAGUGUACAUGAGUUUCUCAGCUUAUAGUCAUGAAGCAAACACAGACCUGGACAGUGGGAUAGUUUAUUUUCGGUGAGGAGAAACUGACAAAAGCUGCUCUACCGCUCUAUUGUUCCAGAGUCUAGAUCCCUCAACAGUCCAACCAGCAUCCUUGCUUGACAGAGAUGGGUGAGCAGUCACUCCUUGGCUGCAUUUCUAGGCUGGAUUGAGGCAGCAGGGAGAUGACUGUGCAGUGGGGAUACAGCCGGUGCUGGUUCUCGGGUACUUCCUGCCCAGCAGUGGGAGGAAGAUGAAAGUUUCCAUACGAGGGAUUACUUCCAUGGCAACUUACAUAUAGACAAGUUCCUAUUAUGGAGAGAUACAAUACCGAUAAAGUAACCUUCAAGGAAACAAUAGUAAAUUCUUCACUGGUUUUAUUGUUGUUGCUGAAGAUGAAUGAAUAGGCCCAGCAUAGGCAUCUGAAUGCAUAUCAGAGUAUGCAAAGAAGAGCAAGUGAUGUAUACAAUAGUUGGGAUGAAGGAGUAAAGAAUGUUUUUGCAUGGAAAAUACACGAAAAGAAAAGAAGAGAAAAGAAGAGAAAAGAAGAGAAAAGAAGAGAAGAGAAAGGAAGAGAAAGGAAGAGAAAGGAAGAGAAAGGAAGAGAAAAGAAAAGAAAAGAAAAGAAAAAAGAAAAGAAAAGAAAAGAAAAGAAAAGAAAAGAAAAGAAAAGAAAAGAAAAGAAAAGAAAAGAAAAGAAAAGAAAAGAAAAGAAAAGAAAAGAAAAGAAAAGAAAAGAAAAGAAAAGAAAAGAAAAGAAAAGAAAAGAAAAGAAAAGAAAAGAAAAGAAAAGAAAAGAAAAGAAAAGAAAAGAAAAGAAAAGAAAAGAAAAGAAAAGAAAAGACCAUUAUUACAGCUUGUUGUUCUCAUUUGCCUCCUUGUCAAUUACUCUGCGUAUUAUCCUUUCCCCAGCAUAUGUAAACCACCAGCAGGAACCUUUCCAUCCACAUCCAGAGGUGAAAGUAGGCAGCAAAUGCCUUGUAGUAAUUACACCUUUGGACCCUCUGUUCCCUCUGUCCUCCUGGGAAGACUGACCAGCAUAUAUUCAUUUCCUUUUCUGCUGAAAAACUGCUGAACACUAGUCACAACAAAAAAAAAAAAAAAGAAGAUAUGAUUUCUUUAGCAGUCAGAGACCAAGGAGAAAUGGAGCAGGAAACACGACUGCUAUUUUCACGUUUCUGCAUUUAAUCCAUAUAUCAGGAUUAAAAUUUUCUAUUUUCAAGAUUCCUGUUAGGUUUUUGUUCUUGUUUUUGGUUUUUUUUUCCUUAAUAAAGAUCACAGUAUUUUAUGUGAAGCAGACAUUAAUCAUAAGCAAAAUAUUUAUUCAUGAAGAAACACAUAUCUAAUUAAAGAUUUUUUGUCAGCUCCCAGAAUAUGCCAAAGUUCAUAUCUACUGCUUCAACAGACCUCAUCACAUGGCAGGGAACUUAAAAAA
ensembl:lncRNA